GAUGAACGCUGGCGGCAUGCCUAACACAUGCAAGUCGAACGAUGAAGCCUUCGGGUGGAUUAGUGGCGAACGGGUGAGUAACACGUGGGUGACCUGCCCUGCACUUUGGGAUAAGCCUGGGAAACUGGGUCUAAUACCGGAUAUGACCAUGCCAUGCAUGUGGUGUGGUGGAAAGCUUUUGCGGUGUGGGAUGGGCCCGCGGCCUAUCAGCUUGUUGAUGAGGUUACGGCUCACCAAGGCGACGACGGGUAGCCGGCCUGAGAGGGUGUCCGGCCACACUGGGACUGAGAUACGGCCCAGACUCCUACGGGAGGCAGCAGUGGGGAAUAUUGCACAAUGGGCGCAAGCCUGAUGCAGCGACGCCGCGUGGGGGAUGACGGCCUUCGGGUUGUAAACCUCUUUCAGCACAGACGAAGCGCAAGUGACGGUAUGUGCAGAAGAAGCACCGGCUAACUACGUGCCAGCCGCCGCAGUAAUAC
rnacentral:rRNA from 1 species